UACAGAGGUCCCGAGCGUUGUUCGGAUUCAUUGGGCGUAAAGGGUGCGUAGGUGGCUAAGUAAGUUGGAUGUGAAAUCCUGGGGCUUAACCUCAGAAUUGCAUUCAAUACUGCUUAGCUAGAGAGCUGUAGAGGAGACUGGAAUUUACGGUGUAGCAGUGAAAUGCGUAGAUAUCGUAAGGAAGACCAGUGGCGAAGGCGGGUCUCUGGACAGUUCCUGACGCUGAUGCACGAAGGCCAGGGGAGCAAACGGG
rnacentral:rRNA from 1 species